UCUGGAGAGUACCCAAACGGUAGACACGAUGACGAUGACGACGACGUCUCUCAGCAGCUCCUUUCAUCCCCACCAACCACAAAUCUUACUCUGUCUCAGUACCCCCGCAUAUCAAGAGAUAUUAAGUACAAAUAUUUCGUUUUUCGCCACCUGAAGAAAUAAAAAAAAUCCGCUCAAAUCACGUCAAGCUAUUCAAAAUUUCAGGUGGCCUGAACGAGUAUUUACAAGUUUACUUUUAAACUCAGACAUUUAAUAAUUACAAAUGAGUCAUUUGUUGCCAAAAGGAUAAGAAUCAUAAAUUUAAUUAUCUUUUUAUUUUUUAAAAUGAUAAAUUUUUUAUAUUUCCUUGUUCAUGACUGGCUUUAUUUCAGAGGGAUUAAUCAAUGUAAAAGUAAUAUUUUACAGUGCACCGAUUUAUUGAAUUGCUCGGUAAUUAAAUGAAUAAAUGAACCAAAGUUCUUAUCAAGGACAUAGACGUGUUAAUGUUGAUUAUAAAUAAAAUAAAAAAACAAGUGAAAGUAAAAAGUAUCGUUACGAAUUCAUAAGUUACAAAUGUCCAACAGACGCUAACGCAUAACGCCUACGCUUGUUCUUUUCCAUUCAAACCUCCUAUUUUAUUUACUUUUAAACUUGUUCUUGUUCUUGCUCUUAUUCUUCUUAUUUUAAUUUAUUUUUUUUUGGUUCUUUUGAGAUGCAUCUUGGAGAACAAGUAAUAAUUCAGUAGGCGUUUUAUAACGAGUUCGCUAUAAUUUCUUAGGUACUUACCUUUCUUUGAAUUAUCAGACUUUUUAUUUUAUUAUUAUUAUUAUUAUUAUUAUUAUUAUUAUUAUUAUUAUUAUUAUUAUUAUUUAUCAAACAAACACUCGACAUUGUAAAUAGCAAACUGAAUAUAAUAUUAUCUUUAUAAUUCUACUAAGAAUCACUCAGCAAAUAAAUGAUAAUUUGUUAAAGAGCAUUGUGAAGAAAAAUUAACGGAUAAAGAUGAUGAUUUGAUGAUUGGAUAUUAUGGAGAUUACUUAAAUUAUGGUAAUAAUUUGAUAAUGAAGAUGAUUAAAAGUGUUGAAGAAAAAAUAAGAUUACGGGUUGUAAAAUCUUAGGGUCAAGGAAGAUUAAUUGUGUUUAGUUAAUAUUAGCUUUAAAAAUAUUAGUUUUAAUUGAAAGUCAUUGGGAUAUCCGGCCAAGUUGCUACUGUUUAUUGUAUUAUGUACUGUUACAUUAGAUUAUGUAUAUAGUUGGCAGGCUAAACACCGUGAUGUGAUGAAUAUUAAACGAGGCGUGUCUCUGAUGGCUAUUAAACGUGUUGUAGUUGAUGAGCGACACGACAAAGCUCGCUGUAAAAAAGCUGAUGAUUGAACUAUUAAAGGUCGAGUUACUCGCUGAGAUAAGA